GGCUCGUUAGCUCAGUUGGUAGAGCAGAGGAUUGAAAAUCCUUGUGUCCCUGGUUCGAUUCCGGGACGAGCCA
rnacentral:tRNA from 1 species